rnacentral:lncRNA from 12 species
CUUCACUUCCUUGGUGAUAGGCCGACAACUGUUUUGGAACUCUGGUAACCAGGACACUGCAUUCUAGAAAUUCCCGCUUCCCAGCUCACAUAACUGGAGAUGGUCAAGAGAACAUGAUGUUUUGUUGCUGUUGUCCUACAUUCAGGAUCUCUGGGCUCAGGAGAGUCCUGACAGAGAAAUGUUCAUCUUACUGUUGACGUCAGCUCAUCCUUUAUCUCCAAUGCUGCUGGUUGUGUCUGGAGACCUCAACAGGUAGCAAAAGGCAACUUGGGGCAGCCCACUGCAGAGCAGAACACACUGUGAUCUCAGUCCCCCAUUUUGGAGAUUCAGGGGGGAGAGUGACCAGUACAUCAAGAACAGAAGUGGAGAUAGAAUAACAACAGGAAGAAGGGGAGAGGGAGCAUUUAUUAAAGAGUAUACUUGGGACCACCUACCUGGAGAAGGCUAGGGAAGUUGAGCAUAGCUGAAAAGAGAUUAUACAUUUGAAGAUCCAACGUUUUCAAGUGCUGGAUGAGAACAAACGCUUCACGAUGAAGAUACUACCAAGGAGCAUAUCAUUAAGGGAGAGUAUAGUGGUGCCUGGUGACUCAGUAGGUUGGGUGUCUUAUUAAAGAUUUUGGCACAGGUCCUGAACUCAGGGUGCUGGUUUGAGCUCAAUAGCAGGAUAUGCAGGAAAUCUUCAUGGGAUUCUCUCUCACCUUCUGUCCCUCCACCCACAAACAGAGUCUCUCUCUCUCUCUCAAAAUAUAAUAAAUAACUACAUAAAUAACA